CAGUCGCCGCGGUAAUACGGAGGGGGCUAGCGUUGUUCGGAAUUACUGGGCGUAAAGCGCACGUAGGCGGCUUGGUAAGUUAGAGGUGAAAGCCUGGAGUUCAACUCCAGAAUUGCCUUUAAGACUGCCGAGCUAGCAGGUGAGAGAGGUAAGUGGAAUUCCGAGUGUAGAGGUGAAAUUCGUAGAUAUUCGGAAGAACACCAGUGGCGAAGGCGGCUAACUGGUCCAUAACUGACGCUGAGGUGCGAAAGCGUGGGGAGCAAACAGGAUUAGAUACCCGGGUAGUCCCUGUCUCUUAUAC
rnacentral:rRNA from 1 species